rnacentral:lncRNA from 1 species
UGAACUAGGGGACCACUUUUAACACCUUUAGCAAGUUUUAACACCCCCUCUGUGUGUUUAUGAAAAAUAGGGUGUUAAACUUUAACACAACUAUUUUAACACAACUAUUUGGCAGCCAAUAUGUUGGGGGUGUUUGGGAAACACCUGUUAAAGUUUAACACCUGUCACAUCGGAUGUUUGGAUGCUAAUUAGGAGUACUAAACAUAAGCUAAUUACAAAACUAAUNNNNNNNNNNNNNNNNNNNNNNNNNNNNNNNNNNNNNNNNNNNNNNNNNNNNNNNNNNNNNNNNNNNNNNNNNNNNNNNNNNNNNNNNNNNNNNNNNNNNUGGAGUAUUCGGCUUAUAGAUUCGUCUCGCGAAUCAGCACAAGGUUCUGCAAUUAGUUUUAUAAUUAGCUCAUGUUUAGUCCUCCUAAUUAGCAUCCAAACAUCCGAUGUGACACUGUUAAAGUUUAGCACCUCGUAUCCAAACAGCCCCUUAAAAAGAUGUUAAAAGGGUGUUAAACUUUAACACCCCUUCCCAAACAGGAGCUUAAGAGCGUAUAUCAAUUUUUUUUCCGCAUUGUAUAGAGACCGGCUCUAGAAUCCGGACUGCAUGGACAUGACAUAAGCCACUUUAUGUGCAGGGCUGAUGACUUUAUAUCAUGUGCUGUGCAUAAAAGGAUACUUCAUUUCAUGUGAAAAGCUACCUUUGUUAAUUUUCGUGCGCCCCUCCAAUAGUUUCUUACCACUUUCCCAUGUGCUGCCAGCAGCUUUUUUUCUCCUUUCAGGAAUAUUUUAACAUAUGAUGUGCUCCGUCAGGGCCUUCGAGUAAAUAUCAGUGGUACAUCAAUAUGCAACGGUGUACACAUAGGUGCAAAUCAGAAAGAAUCUGUACAGUCCCGGUACAUCGUUGUUCACUAAAAAAACAAAAUGAAUUCUAGCCACCGCCUGCGUGUACACCCACCACCACCGAAUCUGACCCCAGCGCCGCCGCCACCGUCGUCGGAUUCGUGCCACCGCUGAUGGAUGUGUAGAGAGAGAAGAUGGCCGGAUGAAAGAGAAAAGGAGGUGGUUCAAAUGAAUUUGAAAUCUUGUACAUGAAUGUAUUGCGCUAUUUAUUAUAUCUACAACACGUAUAAAAUAUGGUCCUGUAUGCAUACAUGUACAUGAUGUGUUUAUAUCUCAAGACGCAUACAACUGAUACAUCAAUGGGCAGGGUAACAUCUACGAUAGCAUUAGGAAGUAUUAAAUCUUAGUCCAAUUCCAAACCCAUGCUGCCCUGUGGCACUAACAUGCUCGUAUUGCCGCCGUAUCCUGCACCGAACGCGUUCGAGCUUCUCCCUCACAGUCUCACACACACUGUGCUCGCACAUACGCAUAUACUGUGCUUCCGCUGUGUUACCACUGUAGCAACAUACACGAUCCUCCCAUCAUCAUUGUGCUGGAGACUGGAGGAAGCUUUUGGCGGUCGGUAGAUCAACUUGCUCACGUCAUUAUAGAAAGGAAAUUAUUAUUAUUAUUAUUAUUAUUAGAAGCAAUUCAAAGUCCAUGACGGAUUCGGUGCAAAAGUACUAAUACACAUGCAUGAUCUCGUCAUUAAGAACAUAAUAAGGUAACAAUACAAUUGUACAAAGCAGCUAACUUGCGUCUUCAUGAGAAUAGUCAACACGUGGAUGUGCCGUGUGCGUGCAGUGCAGUGCAACUAGUUCUGGUCCUAAACACAACGAGCGAAUCUGUCAGGUAGACGUACACCAUACAAUUGCAUUAGCUAGCCAAAACAUUUCAUCUAAUCAUCAAAUCGAUGAGCUCUAGUAACAUUUGAACCAAAGCAAACUGCACACCUGAUGUUUUCUACGAAUUAAAGAUAGCAAGCAUAUACGGACAGGUGCAAGCCAGGACCAGGAGGUGAGAAUAUACGCGGCGCCACGAGUCUUUCACGCCCUCUGCAACGGCAACCAGAAAGAACAGGCCAGGCCCUUACCCAGGUGAGACCCGACCAACACAGCUGAAGCUGACCGACCGUUGGGUCUCGAAGACAUUUCCCCUCGCUAGCAUCGGUGAUGACCGUCCUAAUACGCCGCUACCGGUGGAUUGAUCAUUCGAGUCUUAUUGGCACUUUGACGUGCGCCCACACCGCAAAAAAAAUUAUGUACAGAGAUACGGACAGCACUGGAGCCAAAAUGCAAUGAUAUAUAGCAGGUAAAAGAGAGCCCCUUCUUCUGUGUGCGAGCUAGUACCACAGUGCAUGGGCAGCUAGCGAAUGAAUAUUGCUAUGGCAUACACAUGAUAUGUGUAGAUAGGGUGCAUGCAACACACAAAUAUCUCUUCCUUUUUUUGAAAAGGAAAUCUCUUCCUUGAACAUGUGUACAGACUUGCGAGGGUAUCAGUGGCAGCGGCGCAGCGCAGCGUAGGGGCGUGGGAGCUGAGAGCGUUGGCUUGGUCUUACGUACGUACGUCUACGGUAAAUUGCUGGAAAAAGGCAGAGAGGAGACAGAAGAUGAGGAGAGCCUAAAUUAGAGGAGAUGGGUGCGUGCAUCUCAUGAGUCAUGCAUGACUCAUGACAACACCACAAAUGUUUGCCAUCAAUUGCAUGCACAUUCGGAUUUUUUUUUUUGCAUUGUGCGAAUUGAAUUGGAAGGAGUUUUGAAUUUAACUUUGCAAGGAAGUAUAUAUAUAUCAUCACAUGAAGUAUAGAUGUGAGCUAAUUUCAUUUUUUUUAAAAAAACUAGUGAUGGUUUUUUCAAUAAACUUUUACCUUUUCCAAUAGUGGCAUGUGUUGUACGUGCUACCAGAGAUGCACCUGUGUCAACAUCAAGACGACAACCUCUUUCUUCUACGGCUCCAUGCCAUGGUAGGAAACACUAGCAAGGCAGGCGCACUACGCCGCGCCAGUACAAUAGAGCACCUGAGAUGACGUGACAUUGUACGCAUCCAAUUUGUUCAUCUUUUCAGCGGUAGCCCCUGCUUGCUUCUAAGCAUACAGCUAGCUGUUAUAUAUACCACCAGAAAUUAUAUCUGAACUUUUUUCCUGUGAAUCAACAAUGUAAUAACCCAAAGGAUCUUACAUACUCAUCAUGUUCCCAGAUGCAUUGUACAUAGAACUGCUUCAUGCAUGGUCUCCAAUGGGCGAAUGUAUAUCAAAUAUUAAGCAGCACAGACCUUAAUCAACUUGCUAUUUGAGUUCUCCGAUGCGCUAUGCAGAAAGGCUCAUGCAAAAGCAGAUUGUAUAUUAGAUAUUAAUCACUAAGGGCCUUCAGCAGCUUUCCAUUUGGUAUAAUUGCUACAUCUAAGGGGCAGAACACACCUCAAGGUAGUAGAUAGUUCCAAAAUGGCAAGAUCCAUGCCUUUAUAGGAAUUCAGUCCAAACUAGUUUGUAAAAAAAAGAGAGAAUAUGGGAAAUAUCUGUCUCUGUCUGCUGCUGAUCAUAUCCGUGAGAGAGAGAAAGAGAGACCGUACCAGCUUCACCCUGAGGAUGCCGCCGCAGGAAAAACAGAAUUUGACGUCUAAAUUGCGUCAGGUGCGAAGCAGGGGAGGUUGACAGCGUGAGCGUGGGGCUUGAGGUCAACUAACAAAGACGACGGCUCGGGGGUGCUUCCUCGAAGGUGAAAGGCGAGGGGAGGAGGAGGCGACCUACAUUGCGGCCGCCGCACAAGCACGCACGGGAAGGAUGGGAGUUAUUGUCGCACACCUCCUUGCGCCAGGUCCCGAGCCGACUGCGGCGCCGCUCCUUCCCGGAGUCGACGACCCGGGUCAGCUCGACAUCUCCAACUAACAUGGCCUCGCUCUUCCUUCCAUCAGUGAUGAAGUAAUAGGGAUGUCGAACACCUGACAGGGCUGGGCGCGCUGGUGCUUGGUGGGGGUUGGACUGAGGCGGCGAGACCGCGAGAGAGGCUGAGAGGAACAAGGGCAUGUACAACCGAUUUAGGCCCUGUUCGGAGAGGGGGUGCUACACCUUUUAGCACUUGGACUCCCAAACAGAAGUGCUAAAAGGGAUGUGCUAAAGUUUAGCACCCCCAUUUUCUUUAGCACACCCAAGAGGUGCUAAAUUUUGCUAAACCUGCUAAAAGUGGUCAUCUAUGCACUUAAUUCCACUGUUGCCCCCUCUCUCCUCCCCGCCACACCGCCCGUCACCUGCCUCUUCCGCCUGACCCCGGCGGUGGGCCCCGCCGCCUCCGUCGGCCCCGCCUCCUCCGCCCGACCCGCGCUGCCACCACCUCCGCCUAGCCCUGCUAGCGUGGGCGGCUGCCUGCCGCGUCCGUGCCCACCGCGGCCAUGGCCGCCACCGCCGCUGCCCGACGAGAGAAGCGAGGCCCUGAGCAGCGCAAAUCUAGAAGGGGAUCUGGGCGAGGUCGGCGCCGACAGCGCCUGGAGGAACGGCAUCCGGUGCUUCCUGGCGGGCGCCGGCGCGGAGGGCGGCGUCACGGGGGUGGCAUCCGCCGGUUGCUGCAGGGGCUUGGUCCGGCACCGCAGGGUCGAGCGUGAUGAGGGAGCAGGACGCGGUGGCUGCGGAGGAGUAAGCCGCGUCGUCCGGGGACUCGGACCCCUCCGCGAUGAAUACCACGCGCGAGACGGUGACGGAGAGGUGGCCGAAGCUUGAGGCCGUGGUGAAGGCCUCCCCGACCCAGUAGUCCCCGCCACCGCGGCGAAAGCAGAGGUAGGAGGCGAGCAGGAGCGAAGCGAGGAGGACGAGGGCACGGACAUCGGGGAUGGAGCUCGCUGCCACGAGAGCCAGGCUUCGCCCGACCAUGCCUCCUCCGCCGGUGCGCAGAUUUGGAGGGGGCGCGGGCGUUGGGGAUGGAGCUCGCCGCCGCGGGGGCCGGGCUCCGCCCGGCCAUGCCUCCUUCAUCGGGGCGUGAGGGAGGAGCGGGGAGGGAGGCGGCGGCGGUGGUGGCGGGAGGGAGAAGGUGAGGAGGCGGCGGCGGGUGGAGCGCGUGAGGGAAAGGAGCAUGGGGAGGAGCGCGGCGAGGUGGGGCAAACCAGCUCGUGGUGGAGGGGGCAGUGCGCGAGCAAGGAAAGAGGGAAAAGGAGGGGCACUUGGAUCAUUUCCCACCAAAAGUACUAAACUUUAGCACAGUAUCCAAACAGCCCCAAGUGCUAAAGUUUAGCACUCCAUUUAAGAGUGCUAAAGUUUAGUAUUGUGUAUCCAAACAGGGCCUUAGACAGCUGCUGUCCACAAAUUCUAUGUCAUGUCACAUUAAGACAAUAAUACGGACAACUUAGACAACUUAUACAACAGCUUGUCUAUUAGGCUGUCUGCAUACUAUUUAGGGGGUGUUUGGGAACACCCUAUUAAAAUUUAACACCUGUCACAUUGGAUGUUUGGAUGCUAAUUAGGAGUACUAAACAUAAGCUAAUUACAAAACUAAUUGCACAGAUGGAGUAUAAUUCGCGAGACG